GGGCUGUAAACUGACUCGGGCUG
rnacentral:siRNA from 1 species